ensembl:snRNA U6 U6 spliceosomal RNA
GUGCUUGUUUCAGUAGCACAUAUACUAAAGUUGGAACCAUACAGAGAAGAUUAGCAUGGCCCCUGUGUGAAGAUGAUACACAAAAUAUUAGGCACUUGGGAUUAACAU